ACCGCCGGAUGUUCGGGCUGGGGGAGCCGCUUUGUCUCGGCCUCUCGGGGGACAGCCUGUGCUUUUUCCUAUGGCGAUCCCGUCCCCCAGCGCAGCGCUUUCCUCUUUUCCACCCCCUCAAUUCCCCACUCCGAAGCCAGGACCCCAGUAGGUGGAGACGAGACAAGCGUCCAGGGGCUGCUCUGCGGCCCCCAAAGCCAAGCCAGCGUUUUUUCCCGCUCGGAUGCGAUAUUGACCAAGGCCUGGGCAGGUUAAAUUAAUCUUCCUCCCAUCCUCUCACUUCUCCAAGUGAGACAGGAUAGGAUUCUGACCGCGUGAAACACCAAACUGCAUCUGGGGACAUUGCUGGUGGCCUGUGUGUGGGGGAUGAGAGUGACGGCGUCGGUGGUGGAGGGUAUCCUUGAAGAAUGUAUAUGCUGGUUCUCCCGUUUCAAGGGCAGAAUGAUUUAUAGCAGUCGUUCUCAACCUUGGCUGCACAUUCGAAUCACCUGAGGGUGCCUGGAUUUCUAACUUAAUUGGGCUGAGUGCAGCUUGGGCUUUGGGAUUUUUCAGGUGAUCUGAAUUGCAGCCAAGGCGACCUUGAUUAGGCGAGUUCGCAGAGCUUUGGCUUUUGUCUUGGUUCUGUGUGGAUUGCAAAACUCAAAAAACAGGGAUGUAAAUGCUGAGAUUUACAAAAUUCAUAAUUUUUGAGAAUAAGGGUUUUUGUUUUUGUUUGUGUUUGUUUUUUGAGACAGGGUCUUGCCCUGUCAUCUAGGCUGGAGUGCAGUGGCGAUCAUAGCCCACUGCAGCCUCGAACUCUCGGGCUUAAGAGAUCCUCCUGCCUCAGCCUCCUGAGUAGCUGGGACUACGGGGGUGAACCACCACACCGAGUUAAUGAUUAUUUUUUUUGUAGAGAUGGGGAUCUCUAUGUUUACUGUGCUGAUUUCAAACUUUUGGGCUCAAGUGAUCCUCCUGCCUCGGCCUCCCAAAUUGCUGGGAUUCUAAGCCUGAGCCACUGCACUAGUCCUAAAAGUAAAUGUUUUCAAGUUUUGGUGUGCCGCCCUUUUCUAUCACAAGAUUGGGGUGUUGACGAUAAAAUGUUAUAUCCAAAAGGAACCUGGGAUUCAGAAUAGGUUCUCUAAAUUCCUUUGGAGAUUAAUGUUUAAAUUAGACCACAUUGGGAACUCCUUAAGGGCUAUCGGCUUCUAUAUUUGUGUGUCUCUUAUCACCUUAAAAUCCCUUGCUCAGUAAGCACUUGUGCAACAAAUGAAACUAAAAAUGGACAGUUAUGAAAAGGCUGACUUCAUUGUUCAGUGCCCUUUUUUCAAAAUGAACAUGGAGAUUAAGAGAAAGGAAAAAUCCCUGUUAAUUAUCAACUUGCACUUUGACACUGUAGUCCAGACAGAAGGUUAGAAGUCUGUCUCUGCAGAAGGCAGAUUGUGGGGUGCCACUAAGAGCCCCCCCACCACACACCCUGUGAGAGUACUUGAUCACUUUUCACUUCUGUUCUGCUCUCCACAUUUUUCUCUCUUCCUCUAUAUCUGCUUAUGUCAUAAUCUGCUUCAGAGGUUGACCCAGUUUACCUUCCUGUUAAGAAUUUUUUUUUUUUUUUUUUUGAGAGAGAGUCUCACUCUGUCGCCCAGGCUGGAGUGCGGUGGUGCAAUAUGGGCUCACUGCAGCCUCCACCUCCUGGGUUCAAGCAAUUUUCCUGUCUCAGCCUCCCAGGUAUCUGGGAAAACAGGUGCACGCCAUUAUGCUGGCUAGUUUUUGUACCUUUUUUUUUUUUUUUUUUUUUUUUUUUGAGAGAGAGUCUCACUCUGUCUCCAGGCUGGAGUGCAGUGGCUUCAUCUCAACUCACUGCAACCUCUGCCUCCUGGGUUCAGGUGAUUCUCUUGUCUCAGCCUCCGGUGUAGCUGGGACUACAAGCACCUGCCAACACACUCGGCUAAUUUUUGUAUUUUCGGUAGAGACAGGGUUUCACCAUGUUGGCCAGGAUGGUCUCGAUCUCUCGAGAUCUGCCUGUCUCAGCCUCCCAAAGUGCUGGGAUUACAGGUGUGAGCCACCAUGCUGGGCCCUAGUUUUUGUGUUUUUAAUAGAGAAGGGGUUUCAACAUGUUGGCCAGGCUGGUCUCGAACUCCUGACCUCAGAUAAUCAGCCCACGUUGGCCUCCCAAAGUGCUUGGAUUACAAGCGUGAGCCACCACACCCAGCUUAUUUUUAAUUAAAAAAAUUUUUUUAGAAACAGGGUUUUGCCAGCUUCGCUUGGUGACUCAUGCCUAUAAUCCCAGCACUUUGGGAGGCCUAGGCGGGAGAUCCAGACCAUCCUGGCCAUGGUGAAACCCUGUCUCUAUUAAAAUACAAAAAAUUAACCGGGUAUGGUGGCACAUGCCUGUAGUCCCAGCUACUCAGGAGGCUGAGGCAGGAGAAUCGCCUGAACCCAGGAGACAGAGGUUGCAGUAAGCCGAGAUCAUGUCACUGCACUCCAGCCUGGUGACAGAGCAAGACUCUGUCUCAAAAAAAAGAAACAGGGUUUUACCAUGUUGCCCAAGCUGGUCUCUGACUCCUGGGCUUUAGCAGUCUGCCUGUCUUGGCCUCCCAAAGUGCUGGGUUUACAGGCAUCAGCCACCACUCCUGUCCCAUUUCUUGUAUUUUAAGUGCUUGGAUUGGGGGCAGGUAGGGAGAAAAUGGUAGAUAGAAACAAUUGUGAGACAUGUCCCUUCCCUUAAGGAAUUUUUCAGUAUGGUGAUUGUGAAAGAAAAAAAUAUCUUGGAACUUCAAACUAUGCCAAAGGGAAAGUUUGGCUUGGGAACUGAAUCACCCAAAAACUGCUUUUCCUUUUGUUCCCCAACAGACAGGUUCCCAGACAGCUGUAAUUUCACAAUCCCAUGUCAUAGCCUCAUUUCCCCUACUCCAGCUUUUCACUUUUACUUUAUCUUAUGUAAAAUGCAGAUUUACUGAGGCUCAUGAGAGCCUCACAAAAAUGCAACCAUUGCAAUGGCUCAUGCCUGUAAGGAGGCAGAGGUGGGUGGAUCACCUGAGGUCAGGAGUUUGAGAAGGCUGUCCAACUUGGUGAAACCCCAUCUCUACCAAAAAUACAAAAAUUAGCUAGGCAUGGUCGUGGCUCCUAUAUUCCCAGUUACUUGGGAGGCUGAGGCAGGAGAAUUGCUUGAAUCCGGGAGGUGGAGGUUGCAGUGAGCCAAGAUCUUAUCACUAUACUCCAGUCUGGGCAAUAGAGUUAAGACUCCUUCUCAAAGGAAAAAAAAAGAAUGUAACCAUCUACCUUAUUGCCUAUCCUCCCUCUUUUUCCUUCUCCUUGUUCAUUCCCCUUUAAAUACUAACGCUCCCAAAACCACCUUUGGAAAAAGCGUAGGUCGUAGAUACUCCUGCGAUCUGUAUUUUUUCCUGGGUGCAUCUUCAACUUUGGCUAAAUAAACCUCUAUAGAUUGAGACCUAACUCAGUCACAUUUUGUUUUGCAGUGGGGAAGACAAAAUGCAGUCAACCCCAAAGGGGAGUUGUUUGUGUUAAUUGCUGCAAGUAAUAAGAAAUUACAGUAGUCUAGAAAACAGUUGAAAUGAUCACUUCUGCAUGGGCACUAUGGGAAGGUUUCAUGAAGGAGAUGGUAUCUUUCGGCACCUCAAAAGAUGAGGCUGGGCACGGUGGCUCACGCCUGUAAUCUCAACACUUUGGAAGGCUGAGGCGGGCGGAUCACUUGAGGCCAGCAGUUCAAGACCAACCUGGCCAACAUAGUGAAACCCUGUCUCUACUAAAAAUACAAAAAUUAGUCGGGUGUGGUGGUGCACACUACUUGGGAGGCUGACGCACAAGAAUCUCUUGAGCCUAGGAGGCAGAGGUUGCAGAGAGCUAAGAUCAUGCCACUGCACUCCAGUGUGGGCAACAGAGAGAGAGACACUGUCUCACAAAAAAAGGGGAGAGAUGGGUAUUAUUCUUUAACAUUCCUAACCUCAAAAGAUGGGUCCCAAAUCUAGGAUAUGUUGUGUAACCAAAUUUGGAGCAAAGGGUAUCUCUUUAAUAGCAGUAAGAAGGCCAGCCGUGGUGGCUCAUGCCUGUAAUCCCAGUACUCUGGGAGGCUGAGACUGGUGGAUCAUAAGGUCAGGAGUUCAAGACCAGCCUGGCCAAGAUGGUGAAACCUCGUCUCUUCUAAAAAUACAAAAAUUAGCUGGGCGUAAGUGGUGGGCGCUUGUAAUCCCAGCUACUUGUGAGGCUGAAGUGGGGAAUUGCUUGAACCCAGGAGGCAGAGGUUACAGUGAGCUGAGAUCGUGCCACUGGACUCCAGCCUGGGCGACCGAGAGAGACUCCAUCUCAUAAAAAAAAAAUUAGAAAUAGGAGAUGAGAAGCUGAUGAGUAGGUUGUGGUUUGAAAAAUGCGGAGUUUCCAGACACACAGUAAACUGUGGGCUGGGGCUGGCUUGAGCAGACCAGUGACUUAGUGAAAGUAGUUUUGUGGGAAGCCUUAAGAUUGAGAUCUCAACCUUGGUGAUGCCCGAUAGAAGUUUCUUUCUUGUUUUUUUCUUUUUUAAAUUUAUAGAGAUAGGGUCUCACUAUGUUCCCCAGGCUGGUAUUGAACUCCUUGACUCAAGCAAUCCUUCUGUUUCUGUCUCUGAAAGUGUUAGGAUUACAGGCAUGUGCAUUGCUGAAGUUUAAGACUGGUUCUCCAGUGAGUUCUUUCCUAAAUAAAAUCCAUUAAUUUCUAAAGCUUGGAGAAAUUUUAAAGUUGUGGUGUAAGAACUCACAUGGAAGUUUCAAAGUAGAGUGUGUGUCUAGCAGUGGUCAUUUACAGGGAGUGAGAUUAUUUGAUUUUUAGUUGUUUUAUCAGUGUUCCUUCAUUUAAUUGUUCAACUGUUAAAGUUUAUGGAAGCCCACUGUUUUGGACCAGUCUUCUGUACUAGGUCCCAGCAGACGUGUGUGUGUGUGUGUGUGUGUGUGUGUGUGUGUUUCUUUUUUUUUUUUUAGAGACGGGUUUCACCAUGUUGACCAGGAUGGUCUGGGAUCUCUUGACCUCAUGAUCUACCCACCUCAGUCUCCCAGAGUGCUGGGAUUACAGGUGUGAGCCACUGCACCUGGCCUUGUUUGUUUCUUUUUUGAGACGGCGUGUUGCUGUGUUGCCCAGGCUGGAGUGCAGUGGGGUGAUCUCAGCUCACUGCAACCUCCAUCUCCUGGGUUCAAGGAAUUCUAGUGUGGUGCCUCAGCCUCAUGAGUAGCUGGGACUAGCACACACCACUAUGCCUGGCUAAUUUUUUUUUUUUGAGAUGGAGUUUUACUCUUGUUGCCCAGUCUGGAGUGCAGUGUCGCGAUCUCGGCUCACUGCAACCUCUGCCUGCUGGGUUCAAGCGAUUCUCCUGUCUCAGCCUCCCGAGUAGCUGGGAUUACAGUCAUGAGCCACCAUACCCAGCUAAUUUUGUAUUUUUAGUAGAAAUGAAGUUUCACCAUGUUGGGUAGGCUGGUCUCUAACUCCUGACCCCAAGUGAUCCGCCUGCCUUGGCCUCCCAAAGUGCUGGGAUUACAGGUAUGAGCCACAACCCCUGGCCUGUUACUUUGUUUUUAAAGGACAGGAUCUCCCUCUGUCGCCCAAACUGGAGUGCAGUGAUGUGAUCUCAGCUCACUGCAGCCUCAAACUCCUGGGCUCAAGUGAUCUCCCAUCUCAACCUCCUGACUAGCUGGUACUGCAGGUGCAUACCACUGAGCCUGGCUUGAAUUCAGUUUUUGAAGUCUCCAAAAAAUUAAAUAUAUUUUAUCUCUCAUGAUCACAUGUAGACUGGUGAGAAAUGCAAAGACUGCCCAAAGCCAAGGUGAAUUUGAACCUUCUGGGAGCUUUGUCUCUGCCAUUCAGUUGUCGACCUACGCAGAGGUUGGGAGAGUCAGUUUAAGGAAAAGUUCUUUCUGAAUUGCCGCUCCCUUUGCCCCAGGGCUUGGGGAGCUCGUGGUCCUGCUGAGUGUACUGAUUCUGUGAUAAGAAUACUGUGUUUCUGUGGUUUUGGCUAGUAGUUCUUACCAAUGAGAGUUGGGUAGGAAAGGUUGAUUAUGUGACAGAAGUUCUUGAUUGCCAAGUCACCGUGAACUGUGCUGCACAGCACCAGUUGGAGAGGCCUGGGGGAGAGGCAUGGGCUUUGAAAGAUCCUUGAACAGCAGGCUGCUGAGUGAAUCAUUGCUCAUCUAGCCUGAAAAUAAUUACCCAGCAACAUGUAACCUCACUUGGAAGUGAUACCGUGUACUUUGAUAUUAUGAUGUCUAUAUCCCGAUAAGGCUAAACACUGGAUGUACUUUUUUUUUCCCCUGAGACAGGGUCUUACUGUGUUACCCAGGCUGGAGUACAAGGGCAUGAUAAUAGCUCACUGCAGCCUCAAACUGCCAAGCUCAAGUGCUCCUCCUGCCUCAGCAUCCCCAGUAGUCAGGACCACAGGCACACGGCCACCACCAUGCACUGGCUGAUUUUUAAAAUUUUUAGUAGAGACAAGGUCUUGCUUUGUUGUUGCCCAGGCUGGUCUCAAACUCCUGAGCUCAAGCAAUCCUCCCACCUCAGCCUCUCAAAGUGCUGGGAUUAUAGGCAUGAGCUUCUGUGCCCAGCCUGAACAUGCAUUAUUAUUAUUUUGAGAUGGAGUUUUUCUCAUAUCCCAGGCUGGAGUACAAUGGCAUGAUCUAGGCUCACCACAACCUCUGCCUCCCAGGUUCAAGCAAUUCUCCUGGUUCAGCCUCCUGAGUAGCUGAGAUUACAGGCAUGCGCCACAAGGCCUGGCUAAUUUUUUAUUUUUUAAUUUUUUUUUUUUUCCUUUUUCUUUUUUAUUUUUUACUGUCCAUCUUUGGAAACUACUUUGUUAUAAUUUUGUAUUUUUAGUAGAGACAGGGUUUCACCAUGUUGCUCAGGCUGGUCUUGAACUCCUGACCUCAGGUCAUCCACCUGCCUUGGCCUCCCAAAGUGCUAGGAUUACAGGCGUGAGCCACCACACCUAGCAAACAUGCAUUGUUAAUGUAAUUUACUAAGAAGGAGAUCAGUUUAAAGGAACUCUGUCAUCAGUUCCUGCACUAUUGACAGCCCUCAAAUAGGAGGUUACCCUAAUGUGUCUCCUGGGUUUAACAUUUCAUAGAAUGAGACCCACCCAUAUUCGUAAGUGACAAAGGAGUGCCCAUAAUGGGUGGAGCUAAUUAAAGCCAGCAAAUGCUAUUGUUGAAAUCUGGCUUUUAACUUACCUUGUUCAUUGCUUAAUUUUUUUGUACCAGUCCUUGUAUACUGUUACUUUGCCAUCUGCCUCAAAACCCACUAAAUCUGCAGGGCUAAAAAAAGAAAGACUGCCUCUGAAUCCUUCAGGGUGUCUAUUUCUCUGUAAAACAGCCUUUGAAAAGUAGCCACAGAGAAUGCAUUUUUUUUUUUGUUAUGUUUUUGAGACAUUGUCUGUCGCCCAGGCUGGAGUGCAGUGGUGCCAUCUUGGCUCACUGCAACCUCCAACUCCUGGGUUCAGGUGAUUCUCCUGCCCAGCUUCUCAAGUAGGGACUAGAAGUACAUGCCAACACGCCCAGCUAAUUUUUUGUAUUUUUGUGUGUGGUUUUUUAUUUUUUAUUUUUUAGUAGUGACAAGCUUUCACCAUGUUGACCAGGCUAGUUUUGAACUCCUGACCUCAAGUGAUCCACCUACCUCAGCCUCCGAAAGUGCUGGGAUUACAGGCAUGAGCCACUGUGCCUGGCCAACAAUCCAAGAAUUUUUUUUUUUUUAUACUGAGAAACUAAAGGAAUGAUAUGGAAAUAGUGAUACCCUCUGGCUUUUUUUUUUUUUUUUUUUUUUUUUAAAUAACACUGUCACUCAGGCUGGAGUGCAGUGGCAUGAUCUAGGCUCACUGCAACUUCCACCUCCUGAGUUCUAGCGAUUCUUCUACCUCAGCCUCCUGAGUAGCUGGUAUUACAGGUGCCCACCACCAUGCCUGGCUCAUUUUUGUAUUUUUAGUAGAGAUGGGGUUUCGCCAUGAUGGCCAAGCUGGUCUUAAACUCCUGACUUCAAAUGAUCUGCCCACCUCAGCCCCCAAAGUGCUGGGAUUAUAGGCAUGGACCACACCUGGCCCACUUUGGUAUUUGUAAGUGGAUUCCAGUCAGUCACAAUUAAUUACCAUGUAUUCACUAGGUGUUGCAACAUUAAAUGUUACUGCCAUUACUUUUGCACCAACCUAAUAGGAUGUGGAGGUCCCAGGUUCUUUUCUUUUGGGGGCACAUGAGACGGUGCGCAUCAGGUAAUGGGGGGACUGAAUCAUGGAAGUAUUGUCUCACAGAACUUUCUUGUUCCCCCUGGAUGCCCCAGAGUAACAAUUCUUUUUUAAAUUUUUUUGAGACAGGGUCUUACUCUGUCGCCAAGGCUAGAGUGCAGUGACAUGAUUAUGGCUAACCACUGGACAUACGUUGUUUUUUUUUUCCCUGAGACAAGGUCUCACUGUGUCACCCAGGCUGGAGUACAAGGGCAUGAUCAUGGCUUACUACAACCUCAAACUUGGCAGUUUGAGGUUGCAGUGAGCCUCAAUAUCCUGGGCUUAGGUGAUCCUCCUGCCUUAGCUUCCCAACUUUGAGACUACAGGUUAUUUUUUGUGGUGAUGGGGUCUCGCUGUGUUGUCCAGACUCCUCUCAAACUCCUGGGCACAAAGGAUCCUCCUGCCUUGGCCCCCCUAAAGUGCCAGGAUUACAGGUGUAAGCCACUGCACUCUGCCACAAUUCUUUUGAAUCUGAUGAUUUCCUGAGACUGGGAGGUUCAAGUUAAUCUAAUGUUCUGCUUAGCUUAACAUUGAACAAAAACAGCCUUUGUUAAUAUCUCUUACAAAUGUAUCCGUUCAUUUUCUUGCUUUAGAUUUUGCUUUAUGCAGAGUGCUUUUUUUUUUUCUUUGUUAAGCUUGAUGCAUCCAUGAACUAACCUUCAUCUGAAAUGAAAAAAAGGUUUUGAGGCUGGGUGUGGUGGCUCACACCUGUAAUCCCAGCACUUUGGGAAGCUGAGGUGGGCAGAUCACAAGGUCAGGAGUUUGAGACCAGCCUGACCAACAUGGUGAAACCCAGUUUCUACUAAAAAUACAAAAAUUAGCCUGGCAUGGUGGCAUGGGCUUGUAACCCCAGCUACUCAGGAGCCUGAGGCAGGAGAAUCACUUGAACCCGCGGAAGAUGGAGGUUACAGUGAGCAGAGAUCGUGCCACUAUGCCCAAACCUAGGCAACAGAGCAAAACUCCAUCUAAAAAAAGAAAAGAAAAGGCUUUGAAGGUGGAGACAUGGAUAUUGAACAGUGAAUAUGUGCCAAGGACAGGGCUGUGUCCAGAUAGCAUUAUAUUUAGUCACGGUUGGUAUAAAGCUGAUGAAAUGCAACAAUGACAGGGAUCUUUAUCUGUGUCAGUCAUCAAUUUAGUCCAAGCCCCUAGAACAGUGUUUUGCACAAAGCAAGUACUCAAUAUAUAGUUGCUGAAAGAACGAGUCGAUGGGGGGAACUGAUGUGGAGGUCAGAGUGGAAGCAGGUGUGAGAGGGUCCAGCAGAAGGAAACAUGGCUGCCAAAGUGUGUGAGUCCAUCGGCAAGUUUGGCCUGGGCUUAGCUGUUGCAGGAGGCCUGGUGAACUCUGCCUUAUAUAAUGUGGAUGCUGGGCACAGAGCUGUCGUCUUUGACCGAUUCCGUGUAGUACAGGACAUUGCAGUAGGGGAAGGGACUCACUUUCUCAUCCCACGGAAACCAGUUAUCUUUGACUGCCGUUCUCAGCCAUGUAAUGUGCCAAUCAUCACUGGUAGCAAAGAUUUACAGAAUGUCAACAUCACACUGCAUGUCCUUUUCCGGCCCAUCACUAGCCAGCUUCCUCACAUCUUCACCAGCAUCGGAUGAUGAUGAAUGUGUGCUGCCCUCCAUCACGACUGCGAUCUCAAGUCAGCGGUAGCUCUCUUUGAUGCUAGAAAACUAAUCAACCAGAGAGAGCUAGUCUCCAGGCAGGUGAGCGACGACCUUAUGGAGUGAGCAGUCACCUUUGGGCUCAUCCUGGAUGGUGUGUCCUUGACACAUCUGACACCUUUGGGAAGCAGUUCACAGAAGCGGUGGAAGCCAAACAGGUGGCUCAGCAGGAAGCAGAGAGGGCCAGAUUUGUGGUGGAAAAGGCUGAGCAGCAGAAAAAAGGCGGCUAUCAUCUCUGCUGAGGGCGACUCCAAGACAGCUGAGCUGAUCGCCAGCUCACUGGCCACCGCAGGGGAUGGCCUAAUCGAGCUGCGCAAGCUGGAAGCUGCAGAGGACAUCGUGUACCAGCUCUCACACUCUCGGAACAUCACCUACCUGCUGGUGAGGCAGUCCGUGCUCCUCCAGCUGCCCCAGUGAAGGCCCACCCUACCUGCACCUCCACGGGCUGACUGGGCCACAGCCCCAGUGAUUCUUGACACAGCCUUCCCUUCUGCCCCCACCCCAGAAAUCACUGUGAAAUUUCAUGAUUGGCUUAAAGUGAAGGAAAUAAAGGUAAAAUCACUUUGGAUCUCUAAUUAGUCUGUCAGAUGAAUGGCUUUCAUUCUUCUCACACCCAUCUACUUUUUUAUCCACCUGCCUACCAAAAAUUGCCAAGUACCUAUGCAAACUGGCUUUAGUUCCCAAUUGGGGGCCUGCUGGAGCUCCGGCCUGGGCACCAGCAUUUGGUAGCAUGCAGGCAGGGCAGUGUGUGAUGGACUGGGGAGCACAGGUGUCCGCCUGGGUCCGCGUAUGGCCUCCAUCCUGCAUGGAAGAUUUGUGGAUGUGGCCACGUGGCUGAACUGAGAAGGCAGGCCUCCCUCUUCCCAGAGGUUCCUGCGCAGGGGCCACUGAAGAGAGGUGCUGGGGAGGGGCAGAGAGGAAGCAGUUUGUCUCUUACCAUAAGGCUGAUUCUCUUUAACUUUGCAACCAGUGGAAGCAGUUGUGUGUGAACUGGGCACAGAUUGAAGAAUCUGCCCCUGUUGAGGUGGGUGGGCCUGACUGUUUUCCCCUAGGGUCCUAUAACUUGGAUGGACUUGGAUAGUGAGAGAGGAGGCCUGGGCCGAGAUGUGAGUCCUGUCGAAGACUCCCUCUCUACCCUGCACCUUGGUCCCUCUCAAAUACCCAGUGGAAUUCCAAAUGGAAGGAUUUGCAUCCUGCUAGGGCUGAAUAUGCCUGUUAAAGACAUGUCCGACCUGUGUUCCUGGCUCCCCAGUUCAGAGACUGCCCUUCUCAAGGGCUUUGUGCCUGUCCUGGGAAAGAAACAACCCUGGGAAGGAAACAAAUGUGUAUAAACUGCUGUCAAUAAAUGACACCCAGAGCUUCUGGCUCGGAAAAAAAAAGAAAAAUGAGUUGAUGAAUCGAUAGUGUUUUGCUUUGGAAAUGAUGAUUUGUCUAUUUUCUAGGUAGUUCUGUCAUUUUGUUCUUGAAUUAGAUUUUAGACAGCAAAGAAGGACUAGGACUACAGGGAGGAAACUGUAGGCAAUUCUGUGGUGGGGGUUGGGGGGAACCAGAGGAAGGAAGUUCACAUUUUUUUUUUUGAGACAGGGUCUUGCUCUUUCAUCCAGGCUUCAGCGCAGUGGUGUCAUACAGCUCACAGCAGCCUCAAACUCCUGUGCUCAAACGAUCCUCCUACCUCAGCCUCCUGUGUAGCUGGGACUACAGGCGAGCACCACAACACCCAGCUAAUUUUUAAAUUUUUUAUUUGUGGAGACAAGAUCUUACUGUGUUUCUCAGGCUUGUCUCUAACUCCUGGACUCAAGCAGUCCUGUGGUGGCUCAUGUUGUAAUCCCAAAGUGCUGGGACUACAGCAUGAGCCACCACACCCAGCCGGAAGUUCACUAUUGGACACAGGUGAUGUUCUUGGCAGGUGCAGUUGCAAAUUAACCAACUUCUUGUUUCACUGCCAACAUGAGCAAUGUGAGGUUUCUCCCUGGCUAGGCAGGACUGAAGGUAGGGAGGCAGGCCCAAGGAAAAAUGGUGAAGUUUCUGAAUUUUGCCACCUGUUGUCACCAAACUCUAUACAUGCUCAGUCCCUCCUUGGAGGGGGUGCCCUGUCUUCACUGUGAGCUAAUGCCAGCAGGCCCGCUGACCAGGAUUCUGAACACUAGAUUGGUUGGAAGAGGAAGCUCUCAGGAAUGGAUCAUCAAUUUGGAAAUGGAGGCUGAGUUACAGGAGUCUCCUUGAUGAUUCGUUUACUGAACGGCCUAUGAAAUUUGCUUCUUAGCUGGGUACAGUGGCCCAUGCCUGUAAUCCCACCACUUUGGGAGGCCAAGGUGGCUGGAUCACUUGAGGCCAGGAGUUUGAGGCCAGUCUGGCCAACAUGGCAAAACCCCGUCUGUACUAAAAAUUCAAAAAUUAGCUGGGCAUGGUGUAAUCCCAGGUACUUGGGAAGCUGAGGCAGGAGAAUCGCUUGAACCUGGGAGGUAGAGGUUGCAGUGAGCCGAGAUUGCACCACUGCACUCCAGCCUGGGCAACAAGAGUGAGAAUCUGUCUCAAAACAAAACAAAGGAAAAGAAAAUAGCCAGGCGUGGUGGUACAUGCCUGUAAUCUCAGCUGCUUGGGAGACUGAGAAUCACUGGAACCUGGGAGGCAGAAAUUGCAAUGAGCUCAGAUCGUGCUACUGUACACUCCAGUCUGGGUGACAGAAUGAGCCUCUGUCUCAAAAAGAAAAAAAAAAAGAAACUUCUUUCAUAUCCCUCAUUAAUGUCCACAUAGAGAUCUAGGGAAUCUUCCAGUGAUAUAUGCUUAGGGUCUUAGCAGUGUGCAACUCUGGGCAACCAGAGCCCUGAGAACUCAUCUGGAUGAUGCUCCAGUCUGGGAGGCAAACUUCCCUUGUGAUCAGCUGAUAUGUUUCAGGUAGAAAGGCCCCUGGGGAAUUUAUCUCCUUCCCAUAUGCCUUGUGUGCACCCGAGGAGCCAGCAGACCGAAGAAAUAAUUUAGAGGUGUUGGUCACCAUCAGCUCUAUCACAGAUCAGAAAUAGAUGCUUUAUAUACCUUAUCUCUGACCACCACAAAAUCUCCAUAAUGGAAGCAUUAUUCUCUUUUUAUGGAAUAAACUGAGCUAGGAGAAAUUUAGUGACCUACAGCCACUAAAUGGGAGAGCUCAGAGUCAAACUCCUGUCUGUCUGACUUGAGGCCUGUGCUCUGUCUGACAACCUGAUGCACAGGUCAGCUAGAGUGGCGGUCCCCAACCUUCUUGGCUCCAGGAACCAGUUUUGUAGAAGACAGGUUUUCCACAGACCAGGAGUAGGGGAUGAUUUCAGGGUGAUUCAGGAUUUAAGUGAAUCACAUUUAUUUAUUUAUUCGUUUUUGUUUUUUGAGAUGGAGUUUUGCUUUUGUUGCCCAGGCCGGAGUGCAAUGGUGUGAUCUCGGCUCAGUGCAACCUCUGCCUCCUGGUUUCAAGCCAUUCUCCUGCCUCAGCCUCUCAAGUAGCUGGGAUUAUAGGCACCUACCACCACACCUGACUAAUUUUUGUAUUUUUAGUAGAGACAGGGUCUUACCAUGUUGGCCAGGCUGGACUUGAACUCCUGACCUCUGGUGACCCACCCACCUAGGCCUCUUGAAGUGCUGGGAUUACAGGCAUGAGGUACCACAGCCCAGCCUGCAUCACAUUUAUUGUGUACUUUAUUUCUAUUAUGUCAUAAUAUAUAAUGAAAGAAUUAUACCAUUCACCAUAAUGUAGACUGAGUGGGAGCCCUACAACUAGACAGUUCCUUCUGGGGGUGAUGGGAGAAGUGAGGAUCAUCAGGCAUUAGAUUCUCAUAAGGAGUGUGCAGCCUAGAUCCCUGCAUGCACAGUUCUCAGUAGGGUUUGUGCUCCUAUGAGAAUCUAAUGCUGCUGCUGAUGAAAGGAGGUAGAUGGAGCUCAGGCAGUGCUAGCAAUGGGAAGCACCUAUAAAUACAGAUUAAGCUUCAUUUGCUUACACCUCCUGCUGUGUAGCCUGGUUCCUAACAGGCACCUGGGGAUCAGGGAUCCCUGAGCUAGAGAAGGGGAAAGAAGGCCUGGUAUGGUGGCUCAUGCCUGUAAUCCCAACACUUUGGGAGGCUAAGGUGAGAGGGUCAAUUGAGCACAGGAGUUUGAGGCCAGCCUGGGCAACAUAGUAAGACCCCAUCUCUAAUGUGUAAGAAAUUGAGUCCAGGUGCGGUGGCUCACGCCUGUAAUCCCAACACUUUGGGAGGCCGAGACAGGCGAAUCACGAGGUCAGGAGUUCAAGACCAGCCUGGUCAGUGUGGCGAAACCUCAUCUCUACUAAAAAUACAAAAAAUUAGCUGGGCGUGGUGGCGGGCUUCUGUAAUCCCAGCUACUCGGGAGGCUGAGGCAGGAGAGUCACUUGAACCCAGGAGGCAGAGGUUGCAGUGAGCUGAUGUCAUGCCGCUGUACCCAAGCUCAGGAGACAGUGUGAGACUCUGCCUCAAAAAAAAAAAAUGAGAAGGGAGCAGCAGAGAGGGGAUGGGUGGUGAGACUGUUCUAGCUUUUCACUCCUGGACUCCCCAGCUCUCCGUUAAACUAAAUGUGUAUUUUUUGAGACAGGGUCUCACUCUGUUGUCCAAGUUGGAGUGCAGUGGUGCUAUCUUAGCUCACUGCAGCCUUGACUUCCCAAGCUCAAGUGUUCCUCCUGCCUAAACCUCCCAGUAGCUGGGACUACAGGCUCAUGCUAGCAUACCUCGCAAAUUUUUGUAUUUUUUCUAGAGAUGGGAUUUCACCAUGUUGCCCAGGCUUGUCUUCAACUCCUGGCCUCAAGUGAUCCACCUGCCUUGGCCUCCCAAAGUGCUGGGAUUACAGGUGUGAGCUGCCACUCCCAGCCUAAAUGUGCUUUUCAUUCCUUCCAAGUCAUAGGCUCUGAGGUUACGUCAUAUUGCUGGCGUGUAAAUAAGUCUCUGAAAGCAAUGGAGAUCCUUGGAGGCCUGUUCAUAGGAGCUGGCAAAAUAGGACAGCGGUAUUUCAGGGUCACAGGCCUCCUUUCAACCAGUGCUCCAGGCCCCAAAGUGUGUUGUGCUGGAGCGCAGCUCCUCUGGCCCAACAAGGCCACAAUUUUCUACCGUCCUCUUCCUCUGAUUUCUGGCCCGAUGCUCUUCAAUUUUAGGUAAUGUGGUGAUUCUGUUGCUGCCCCUUGAGUCAGUAUCUUGGAUAGGCCCAGAACCUCUCUAAGCUGGCACUACUGCAGGCUCCCCAAGAGCAGGGGCUAUAUCUAUUUAGUGCCUUACAUUGCAUCUUGCCUGACACAAGUGGGUGCUUACUCAGUACCUCUGAAUGAAUGACUGCAAGCUAAGACAAUGUAGAAUCGAAAAAGGCAGAAAUUUCUAAAAAGCAAACCAGAGUUACAUACCCCAGGCACCAGUGAAAGCCCACCUUGGUGCUUAGAAGAAACAUAUUCCAUGGUUCAGGUGCGGUGGCUCAUGCCUUAAUCCCAGGACUUUCGGAGGCUGAGGUGGGUGGAUCCUGAGGUCAAGAUCAUCCUGGCCAACAUGGUGAAACCCCGUCUCUACUAAAAAUACAAAAAUUAGGAACGAUCCAAGAUGGCCGAUCGCUAACAUCCCGGGAUUGCAGCUCUCAGGGAAGGCGCGGAGAACUAGAGGACGCCACACUUUCAGACAAAGUCUGGUCGCUCACGAAGCAGAAGAUCCCCCAGUGGUGGAAACACACGAGUCGCCAGCGCGACUCUCGUGGUCGGCGCAGCGGUUCCGCCGGCACCUCGAGGCGGCAGCGCUCGGCGCAGAGUAAACGGGAACGGUUCCCCUUCUGACCGAGGUUUGGAGCCCCGGGAAGGCAGAGUCACCUACUACGGACACAAGACGGAAGCCCGACAGGAGAAUCCUGGCCAGAAAAGCACCAUCAGUUUUAACGCUGCUGCUCUGGCCCUGGGAACUAACAACCUGGACGUCCACUCAAGAGACCUAAUCUGAAAGUUGGUAAUUUCAAAGACGACAGGAGGAUAAAUUUACAAUGACGGGAAGAAACCAGCGUAAAAAAGCUGAGAAUGCUCAAAGUCAGAACGCCUCUCCCUCUAAAGAUGAUCACAGUUCCACAUCAACAAUGGAACAAGGCUUGAUGGAGAACGAGCGCAUCCUGAUGACAGAAUCACUCUUCAAGGAAUGGAUAAUAACAAACUUCGGUGAGUUAAAAGAACAUGUUGUAGCCCAACGUAAAGAAACUAGGAACUUUGAAAAAAGGUUUGAUGAAAUCCUAUUGAGAAUAGACAACUUAGAGAGGAGUAUGAGUGAAUUAAUGGAACUGAAGAAUACAAUACAGGAACUCCGAGAAGUAUGCACAGGUUUAAACACUCAAAUUGUUCAAGCAGAAGAAAGGAUAUCAGAGGUCAAAAUCCAACUUAAUGAAAUAAAACGUGAAGAAAAGAUUAGAGAAAAAAGGAUAAAAAGGAAUGAGCAAAGUCUCCAAGAAAUGUGGGACUAUGUGAAAAGACCAAAUUUACGUUUGAUAGGUGUACCUGAAUGCCACGGAGAGAAUGAAUCCAAGCUGGAAAAUACCCUUCAGGAUAUUAUUCAGGAAAAUUUUCCUAAACUAGCAAAGCAGGUCAACAUUCAACCCCAGGUAAUACAGAGAACACCACAAAGAUAUUCCUCAAGAAGAGCAACCCCAAGGCACAUAAUCGUUAGAUUCACCAGGGUUGAAAUGAAGGAGAAGAUACUAAGGGCAGCCAGAGAGAAAGGUCAGAUAACCCACAAAGGCAAGCCUAUCAGACUUACAGCAGAUCUCUCGGCAGAAACUCUACAGGCCAGAAGAGAGUGGGGGCCAAUAUUCAACAUCCUCAAAGAACAGAACCUUCAGCCCAGAAUUUCAUAUCCAGCCAAACUAAGCCUCACAACUGAAGGAAAAAUAAAAUCUUUUAUGAACAAGCAAGAACUCAGAGAUUUUAUUACCACCAGGCCUGCUUUGCAAGAGCUUCUGAAAGAAGCAUUAUACACAGAAAGAAACAACCAGUAUUAGCCUUUCUAAAAAUACACCAAAAAGUAAAGAGCACCAACAUAAAGAAGAAUUUACACCAACAAAUGGAUAAAACAGCCAGUCAACAUCAAAUGGCAGUAACCCUAAAUUUAAAUUGACUAAAUUCCCAAUCAAAAGACACAGCCAAAACCCAACGGCAUGUUAUAUCCAGACCUGUUUCACAUGCAAGGAAACACAAAGACUCAAAACAAAGGGAUGGAGAAAGAUUUACCAACCAAAUGGAGAGCAAAAAUAAAUAAUAAAUAAAUAAAAAGCAGGAGUUGCAAUUCUUGUAUCAGAUAAAAUAGAUUUUAAAGCAACAAAGAUAUAGUGGUAAAAGGAUCAAUGCAACAACAAGAGCUAACGAUCCUAACACCCAGAUACGAGACUUAGAUUCAAUGAGACAGAAAAUUAAUAAGGAUAUCAAGGACUCGAACUCAGAUCCAGAACAAGUAAACUUAAUAAAUAUUUAUAGAGCUCUCCACUUCAAAUACACAAAAUAUACAUUCUUGUCAAUACCACAUCACACCUACCCAUAAGUUUAAAUGAAACAUUGAUUGGCCAUUAUUAAUACCCAAUUUUUUUCAAAAUAAAGCAAUAUUUCCAUUUACUCUCCCUCUUUCUCUUCCUCUCCUUUACUUACUUUUUUUUUUUUCUUUCCUUCUAAAAAAAAAAAAAAAAAAAAAUACAAAAAUUAGCCAGGGGUAGUGGCAUGAGCUUGUAAUCCCAGCUACUUGGGAAGCUGAGGCAGGAGAAUCGCUUGAACCUGGGAGGAUGAGGUUGCAGUGAGCUGAGACCGCGCCACUGCACUCCAGCCUGGGUGACAGAGAAAGACUUGGUCUCAAAAAAAGAAAAUUAGCUGGGUGUGGUGGCAUGUGCCUGUAGUCCCAGGUACUUGGGAGGUUGAGGCAGGAGAAUCGCUUGAACACAGGAGGCAGAGGAAGCAGCAAGCUGAGAUCGUGCCACCACAUACCAGCCUGGCGACAGAGCAAGACUCCCAUCUCAAAAAAAAGAAGAAACAUAUUCCAAAAAAAGAAUGUUUUAAAAUUAAACAUCUUUAAAAAAAACCUUUAAAAACAUAUUUUUAAAAGACUUAAAAAAAGAAGCCUUAAAUAACUUUAAAGUAGCUUUAAAUAUACAUGAGGAACAAAUGGUUGUUAUGUGACAGUAUUUAGAACAUUGAGUGCUUUAUGACACCGUUGGAUUGUUUUUAAUGAUUCUUGGGAAGUCGGAAACCAUGGCUGGAGGACCAGCAGUAUUUACUUAGCAGACAUAUCAUCUUUGGGAAAAUUGCUUUUGGAGUCUGUCCUAGUUGAAGCCACUUAGUAAACUUAAACUGUGAACUGCAGGGUGUAAAGGUGUGGGUGGAAAGCACUGGGAAGCACUUUGCCUGCAGAAUAACUGGAAAAGGCAGGUUGGAUGAGAAAAUAAUUCCCAUUAUGGAGCCGGGAUUGUCCUUCCCACAGAGUUUCGGCCUCCUUUCUCUGCUUUUACUGUUAAGAAACUCCUGUCGUCCUCCUUUCUUAGAAAUGGUUCAUUCUAUUUAUUUCAGUAGUGUGGUCAGAUACUGAGAAUAUGUUGGGGGUUGAGAAACAACAUAUUCUCAGCUUGGCCAGAUAAGAGGGCACUCUAGAUAGAAAGCCAUACAUUUAUUAUUAUUAUCAUUAUUAGUUUCUAUAGGUAGGGUCUGGCUCUGUUACCUAGGCUGGAGUGCAGUGGUGUGAUCAUAGUUCACUGUAGCCUUCAACUCCUGGGCUCAAGUGAUCCUCCUGCCUCAGCCUCCUGAAUAGCUGGAACUGCAGGCAUGCACCACCAAGCCCCACUAAUUUUUUAUUUUAUUUUUUGCAGAGAUGGGGUCUCAGGGUCUCACUAUGUUGCCCAGGCUGGUCUCUUAACUCCUUGGCUCAAGCAAUCAUCUUUCUUGUCAACCUCCCAAAGUGUGGGGUUUACAGGCAUAAGCCACCAUACCCAGCUCAGAAAUUAUUGUAAUUGUUAAUAAGAAGUACUUUCUAUGUAGUGUGGUUGUCAUGUUGUUGUAGGUGUUGAUUCUUUUAUGAGGCUUGAAUUCUGUACCAUUUUCUCAAUCCCAUGAGUUCCUGUUUCUGUUGUCUUUAAUAUUCUUAUUGUAGCACAAUUGCAUUAAAAAAAUCCAAGUCUAGCCGGACACGGUGGCUUACGCCUGUAAUCCCAGCACUUUGGGAGGCUGAGGCGGGUGGAUCACCUGAGGUCGGGAGUUUAAGACUAGUGUGACCAAGAUGGCGAAACUAUUUCUACUAAAAAAACAAACAAAUAAAAUCCAAGUCUAAAACUUCACAGUUUUUUCAUCUCUUUCCAGGAAAAAAGAAAUCCCAUAUAACCAAUAACCUGAGACUAUAAAGAAAGAUAACUCAUUCCUUUUAUUUUAUUUUAAUUUUUUUGAGACACAGUCUCAGGCUGGAGUGCCAUGGUGAAUCUCAGCUCACCGCAACCUCUGCCUCCCAGCUUCAAAUGAUUCACCUGCCUCAGCCUCCCGAGUAGCUGGGACUAUAGAUGCAUGCCACCACGCCUGGCUAAUUUUUAUGUUUUCAGUAGAGAUGGGAUUUCACCAUGUUGCUUAAGCUAGUCUCGAACUCCUGACCUCAGGUGAUCUACCUGCCUCGGCAUCCCAAAGUGCUGGGGUUACAGGCGUGAGCCACCUCACCCGGCCAUCACUUAUUCCUUUAUAAUAACAGAGUGCAGAAUGAUGGCAAAUAAUAGGAUUAUGAUGAAAUUAUAGCCUACCGGUAUGCUGUUAGAGUUUGGAGCAACUAAAGGAAUAGAAGAUUACUUUUCAGGAAGACCAUCUGUUUCAAACAUUAGCGAUUUUCAUGAGCUUUGGGCAGGUUUCUUUGAAUUUAGCUUUUCAUAGGAAGUGCCUUGGCUAGUACAUACGUGGUUCAAGUUCCACCAUAGGAGGAUACCCCGAAAACAUUCUAUUGUAAGAGCCAGGAUGGUAUUACUGGGGCAAACAGAAAGCGAACCUAGUUUCUUAUGGUCAUGGAUCAGCAGAGGUACAAGCCACUAAUAUAAAUUAUGUCUAGAAAGCAUUCAUUUUAGUAUAAAAGAAUAAUUGUAUUAUAGACGAGGGAUUGAAGAAGCACUCGCCAACAUUCCACUUCCUAGAUUAAAUCAUUUUGAUGUAAUUUUGGUUAUUCUGGUUUACAAAUAUCUAAAAACAAUUACACAAGUAGAAAAAACUUAUAGAGGCCAAGCAUGGUGGCUCACACCUAUAAUCCCAGCACUUUGGGAGGUUGAGGCUGGAGGAUCACUUGAUCAGUCAGGAGUUCAAGACCAGCCUGGGAAAUAUACUGAGACCUUGUCUCUAUUUUUGUCAACUCUUUUAAAUUUUUUUUUUUUUUGAGAUGGAGUUUCACUCUUGUUACCCAGGCUAGAGUGCAAUGGCGCGAUCUCGGCUCACCGCAACCUCCGCCUCCUGGGUUCAGGCAAUUCUCCUGCCUCAGCCUCCCUAGUAGCUGGGAUUACAGGCAUGCACCACUAUACCCAGCUAAUUGUUUGUAUUUUUAGUAGAGACGGGGUUUCACCAUGUUGACCAGGAUGGUCUCGAUCUCUUGACCUCGUGAUCCACCCGCCUCGGCCUCCCAAAGUGCUGGGAUUACAGUCUUGAGCCACCGCGCCCUGCCUAACUCUUUUAAAUUUUUAUUUAAAAAAUAAAAAGCAUAUGGAGGCUAUGUAUGGUCUCACGCCUGUAAUCUCAACACUUUGGAAGGCCAGGAUAGGAGGAUUGCUUAAGCCCAGGAGUUUGAGAUCAGCCUGGGCAACAAGGUGAGACCCUGGUCUCUAUAUUUUUAGAAAAAUAUUAUUUAUUUUAAAAAAACAUAUUCAGUCACAGUGGCUCACACCUGUAAUCGCAGCACUUUGUGAUCCACAAGGUGGGGGGAUCACUUGAGCUCAGGAGUUCAAGACCAGCCUGGGCAACAUGGUGAGACCCUGUCUUUACUAAAAAUACCAGGCAUGGUGGUGAACACCUGUGGUCCCAACUACUUGGGGGCUGAGGAGGGAGGAUUGCUUGAUCCUGAAGAGCAGAGGUUGCAGUGAGCUGAGAUUGAGCCAUUGCACUCCAGCCUGAAUGACAGAGCAAGACCCUGUCUCAAAAAAACAAAAAGGCAUACAGAACAAAAUAUGAAAGUUUUCUUCCUCCCUAGAGAAACACUGUUGACUGCUUGAGUACAGCCAAACUGUGUUUACACCCAUGUAUACAUACAUACAUACUGCGUGUAAAUAUGAAUUGGAUCAUGGCAUAACUCUGCAACUUUCUUUUUGAUGCAUAAUAUUGUAUGUGAGAACUCUUUCCAUAUACUACAUAGAAAUCUACCUUGCCCUUUUUAAUUGGCUGCAGAAUAUUCCACAGACUCAGUGUACAACAAUUUAUUUAAUACUUCCCUGCUGUUGGAUAAUGUGUCUGUAGUUACCAAUUAUGACUGAACUUCAGGAAAUAUCCUUAUAAAUUCAUCUUUGGACACAGGAGCAGAAUAUGUGACUACUUUUGUAGGUUACAUUCCUACAAGUAGAAUUGCUUGUCCAAUCAGGAUGUGUUUGCUAAGACUAGUUAUAGUCAACCUUUACAAUUUUUGCCAAUCUAAAUGGUUUUCAAAUAAUAUUUGAGAUUGGUUGCAUCAUAGCAGGGUACCUGAAAGAGCCUUCUGGGAGUUAGUGAACUAGGUAGAUCAUUUUGUUCACAUAAAGCCACCAUCAACUUAGUUUAAAGUGAAUAGUCUGUUAUAAAUUAGGUCACUAUGGACUUGCCCUAAACAGCUUCUGUAUUUCUCUCCUCCAGAGAACAAAUGAUAAGUACUACGUACCUCAUCUCUUGGGUUAUUAUUGUAAUCUUGCAUUCAUGAUUAUGAAUUUAAAAGUAAAUGCUAAUUAUGGAAAUAG